rnacentral:rRNA from 1 species
UACGUAGGGGGCAAGCGUUGUCUGGAUUUAUUGGGCGUAAAGAGCGUGUAGGCGGCCAGGUAGGUCUGCUGUGAAAACUCGAGGCUUAACCUCGAGCUGUCGGCGGAAACCAUCUGGCUAGAGUCCGGAAGAGGAGAAUGGAAUUCCCGGUGUAGCGGUGAAAUGCGCAGAUAUCGGGAAGAACACCCGUGGCGAAGGCGGUUCUC